rnacentral:rRNA from 1 species
GCGAGUGAACCGGGAAGAGCUCAAAUUUGAAAUCUGGCAGUCUUCGAUUGUCCGAGUUGUAAUCUAUAGAAGCGUUUUCCGUGCUGAACUGUGUCUAAGUCCCUUGGAACAGGGUAUCAAAGAGGGUGACAAUCCCGUACUUGACACAAUCAUCAGUGCUCUGUGAUACGUUCUCUACGAGUCGAGUUGUUUGGGAAUGCAGCUCAAAAUGGGUGGUAAAUUCCAUCUAAAGCUAAAUAUUGGCGAGAGACCGAUAGCGAACAAGUACCGUGAGGGAAAGAUGAAAAGCACUUUGGAAAGAGAGUUAAACAGUACGUGAAAUUGUUGAAAGGGAAACGAUUGAAGUCAGUCGUGUUCAUUGGAUUCAGCCGGUCUUCGGUGUAUUUCCUUUGAACGGGUCAACAUCAGUUUUGUCCGGUGGAUAAAGGUAGUAGGAAAGUGGCUCCUCCGGGAGUGUUAUAGCCUAUUGCCACAUACACUGGGUGAGACUGAGGACUGCAGCUUGCCUUUAUGGCCGGGGUUCGCCCACGUUCAAGCUUAGGAUGUUGACAUAAUGGCUUUAAACGACCC